GCUUUAGCUCUGGCAUCUGUUCAGAACUGUUAACUAUAGGCCCGGGAAGCCAUUUGUUUUCCCCCUUUGCAAUUUGUGUAAAUAGAGGAUUCAUUUUGGUUUCAGCCACAUGUGCCCAAUCCACUGCAUCUCAUGACUGAUUGCAUCUGAUCGGUAUACGAAAGAUGGAGAAGGAAAAUGGGCCCGAUUUUUAAAGGAAACUUUCAUCUCAGGGCCUUUUGCAAACAUUAAUUCUCAUGAUAUGUGCUUAUAACACUCGUAAACUAAAGCUGAGACUUGUCCAAGAGGUCCAUCAAUUGCACAGACAGUAAAAGAACACAGGAGUCCUGGUGCACAGUUCCAUGCUGUACCCACUAGACCAUAUUGUUCUGUGUACCAAAGCAUAAACAAUUUGUCAGAUUUGUUACCAAAGGAUGCACAAGGCCAGCAGCCAGGCUAAAGAACACAGUGUAUGUCUGUGUUCCCUUCUUGGGAUUUCAUAAUUUGGAGAUGUCUACACAUAGAAGAAAAACGUCCUUCCUGACCCCUGCAGUGACCAGUCUGCACCCAGUGCAGGGCUGGAAAGACCUUUGGCUGCCAGUAAUGGGCAAGCAUCUUAAGCUAACACAGGGGAUUAUACUAGAGCUAAUAGCAGAAGAAGGUAUUGUUGCUGAUGGACAAAUCCAUUGUCAUCGCUAUUGAAGUUUGCAGGUGACCUUUCUCAGUCCCACAAAGGGUCAAACUCAUGACUUUAUGUGGAACAACAGCUCCCAUUCAUGGGAAAUUAGCCUCCUGUAUCACAUGGCUUGCUCCAGACACAAACAUGACGUGACUUGUUUUGACGGCCGCACUCCUGCAGAUGAUAUGCUCCCAGACGGAUAGUGGUUGUGUCCUUUCUUGUCUACACAAGUUAGCCUCUCUGGCAUUUUCCUCUGACCUUUUAGGGAUCAGCUGUGGAAGGAGGGGGAUGUGUGUAUGUGAAGGCACCCAUCUGUCAUCACUGGCCUGCCCCACUUGGUGCUUAUGGAGCUGGAGACUUAGAGAGGAAAGAUCUAUGAGCCCUCUUCUCCCUCUCUGGGUCUUCUGGCACCCAUAGCAAUGGAUGGCACAUAAUCUUGGACCAACAAUUUUUGCUGGGUAAUUAGCUUUGAAACAACAAGCUCAUGGUCAGACACCGUGGACUCUGCACAGGUGAAUUCCCUGUUGGAAUUUUCUAGCUAACAACCAGUUUAAUUGGGUCUCAAGCAGGGAAGGAGAGGAACCUUUUUGACAUACCCUGGUCUCUUUCACUUAUUGCAGGGGGUGCUGGUAACUUUCCCCUACUGAAGGUAACACUGCCAACCAGUAGGGAAUCCGGUGAGCUGCAUCUAAUCUAUUGUUCCAAUGCUUAGAACCUUAGCUUAUUGUCUCCUGUUGGAAAGCAAAUAGACUUGUUUGAUUUUACACUGUCUUCAAUAAAAGGGACCCUGUUUUAUUCACAGUGCCAUUGGUUGUCUAUAUAAAAGAACAACCGUACUAGCUCAUUCAUGGAAAAAUAAAAGAAUCCAGAUCCUAUAAAUGGGAUUUAUUACCUAGGUUAGGGGUGUUAAUAAAAAGAUAUUUGACUUAAGAACAAUCUCAUCCAUUUCUCCUUCCCAGUCUCCUGUCCAAUACUUCCCAUGUCUAUUUAACUACUCUGUCCUCUCCUCAUCUUUGCAGAUAAUCACCAAAACUACCCCCCAAACCCUUAACUCAACUGUGGAGUUCCAACGGAAAUUUGCUAAGUUUCUGAGUCAUGUAGCCAAUGAUUUUAGUUUAUUGUUCAUUUAUUGUGUGAUGUUAUAAUUAACUAACAUGUUAUGUUAUAUAUAAUCAUUGUAUGCUAAAUAGAGUUAAAUUGAAGGAUUAUAGAAGUAUAAAACUGAUCAAUAGUUAGAAGGAUAAUCAUGUAUUAGGUAUCUAAGUGAAAGUGAGUAGGGUUGAAAUGCAAGGCCUGUAGGCUGAGGUCUACAAGAGUUUAGCUUAGCUAUUUUAGGCCUCGGAGCUAAGAAAUGCUGAGAUAAGUAAGUGACCAAAGAAUAAUCCAAUGCCCUAAGAUUACAUGAAAAGAUGUACCAAUGCGUCAUAUUACAAAAAAUUAACAGUAAGAGUAAGAUACCCAUUUUCUAACACAUGCCCUUGCAGGGUACACGAUGUGCAUAAAUGUUAAUGAGAUAUAGUCAGAAUUACAUUAUAAAAGGGGGUGCCCAGAGUGGGAAAAUUGAGCUCCCUAUGUGACACUCCAGCAGGAACCAUCCCUUUACUGAUGAUCAAUUCAUGAGAGACCCAUCAGACCCUAACACUAUUGUUAAGGAUGUGAGUAUAACUAUAUUUGCAACUUGUGCAUAGGUUUGUAUAGAAUUUCUAUAUGCUUGGGUAAUCAUAACUUUAAUUGUAAUUUUAAUAAAACUUGUAAAACA